UCAUCUUUUUAAUAAUAAUCCUUAAGUUGUGGUGUGUUCCUAUAACUGAAGGCACAGGAGGUAGGGAUUUAUUGACAUAGUCAGCUAAAUGGUAGUGUCUCCCUACACACACAUUCCAACAUUGCAUAAAAGCAAGCUCCCAAAGAAGGGCAGUAGAAUGAGAGUGAAGAGGUGAAGUUAAAUAAAGCCAGCUUUGUAGCUCUGCAUGCAACUGCCAGGGCUCCAAGGACUGAGCUGAGCUAGAUAGAGAAAAGAAGCUUCCAGCUCUGCCUGUCCAGGUAGGUGCUACCCAGGACAGACAAAUACUGGAAUUUACAGAGUCAGAUUUUCAAAAACUUUUAAAGCAGUUUAGGUGCCUAUGUCUAACCAACACGCAAUCCUCAUUUACACCUUUAAGCAUGCACACAGCUAUUUUGAGCUCCUGUAAUUUGUAGGAGAAAAGAUAAUAGCUGGACUCCCAGCUCUUGAUGGCUCAGAGAAUGCCUGUGCAGUUGGUCUGGUGUCAGAAAAAACUCCAGACUUUACAUGUGAGGCUUCUUAAAAGCCAAGCCAUGAUGCUAGUGUGUUAAUAUUAAAGAAUAUUGCUUGAAUUAAACCAUACUGGAUUCCUUAACCUGCAAGGUCUUAGCAAGAAAUACAAAGGGUAAAAGGUGUGGCUCUCCAGGUGCUGAUCAGUUUGGGUUUUAUUGUAUGAAACUUGAGGCAAGGGAGUCUGAAGGAUUUUAAGCACCCUCAAGAGGAGAAUUUGCUGAUUCCUGAGAGGACAAGAAGCAGACAGAGAAGAGAGCUGGAGAACUUGCCCACAGGCCAGGAUGGCAGGGUGAUGGGUAACAGUAUGGACUUCCAAAAAGCAGAGGAGAAAUGGGCAGGCUGCCCUGAACACUACACACCUCUCGUGGCUAGACUUUUCUAUGGAUGGAAGGAGCACCUUAGGGCUCCCCCUUGUGCUGGGCACUCUACACCAGGGGCCAGACUGUCCCUGCUCCUGCCAACUUACUGAAGUCAAGGGUGGGAGAAAGGAUGAAUUUGAUCCCUAUUUUACAACAGUCCUAAGGCUGUGGCCCCUAAAAUCUGGUUUGCAUAAGGAAAACAUGCUCCAAUCUAUAAACCAAUACUGAUCCUAGAGACUAACUGGAAUAGAAUCCAUACUGAGGCAGACAAACCCAUUUGCAGUAACUACAGCAUUUAUAGCUCACUUCAUUGGCUACUAUUUUUCAUGGCAGGGAUUGGACAGUGCCUCUCAGGUUUAGUCAGGAGGGGGUCAAAUUAAUGACCACCAAGCACAGCCUGUUCUCCAUACCAAAAUCAACACCGUAGUUAGAACAGCAAGUCAGUCUCUGGUUUCCCAGCUUUCUGGUACCCUUAGUUUGAUUUUUAAAACAGGAUUGCUACGCUAAUGUAUGGAUCUGUGGGGUAACCGCUCUAACGUGGAAAGAUAAAUGCUGGGUGCAUUACUGUGCAGUGGGGAACAAUAAAGUAGAAUUUGUUUGACUGA